GCUGGAGACUGAGCUAAGUAUAACCAAUCAUGGCUAUAGAAUGAAGUCUCCAUAAAACCCUAAACAGUGAAGUUGGUUUGAGGUUCCCACAUUCCACAAGGACAGAAGCUCCUGUGCUCCAGACCUAGUCCUUGACUUACAUACCUGCUCACCUGGGUGUUCAUCUCUGUCCUCUGUUAAAGCACUAACAAUGAACGAGCAAACAGAAGUAAGUGUUCUCCUGAGUUCUGUGAGCUGCUCUAGCAAGGUACCACACUUGAGGGAGUCACGGGAACCUCCCAUUUGUAGCCAAGUUGGACAGAAGUGUGGGCUACCUGGGGAUCCACUACUGCAUUUGGCGCCUAAAGAGGCAGCUGAUAACAUUCCAGAUUGUGGCUGCUCAAUCCACCUGGACAUUGUAGGGCAGAUCCCUGCUAUCGCACGGUCAUCUGCAGUGAACACACAAUGGAAAUUCUUAUUGCAUGGGUGACAACUCAACUGAAAACUACAUUUCUCAACUUCCCGUGUAGACAUGAUCAUCCAUGUAAUUAUGCUUGGGCCAACAUGAGACACAGCAGAAGUGAUAUGUGCACCCUUCCAGGCCAGUCCCUUAAAAUGAAGGUGCGUGCUCUCCUGCUUCCUGACGGCAAGAAUGCAGAGUAGAUGAUAAGAGUUGAGAAAACCAUUCUGGAGUUUAUCACCUCUAAACUAUUCAUCUGGAAUUUUAUAUAAGAGAGAAAUAAACCUAAAUGUAAGUAUUAUAUUUUGGGUUUCUUUGUUAUGCAGCCUAAAUAAUUCUUAACUAAUGUGGGUAUGUAUAAAUAAUAACAGUAGACUUGAGGGGACUUCCUGGUGGCCCAGUGGUUA
ensembl:lncRNA